rnacentral:rRNA from 1 species
GAUGAACGCUGGCGGCGUGCUUAACACAUGCAAGUCGAACGGAACUACUCCAAUGAGAGUCUUCGGAAAGGAUUUGGUUUAGUUUAGUGGCGGACGGGUGAGUAACGCGUGGGUAACCUGCCCUAUACAGGGGGAUAACAGUUGGAAACGACUGUUAAUACCGCAUAAGCGCACAGGAGCGCAUGCUCCGGUGUGAAAAACUCCGGUGGUAUAGGAUGGACCCGCGUCUGAUUAGCUGGUUGGCGGGGUAACGGCCCACCAAGGCGACGAUCAGUAGCCGGCCUGAGAGGGUGAACGGCCACAUUGGGACUGAGACACGGCCCAAACUCCUACGGGAGGCAGCAGUGGGGAAUAUUGCACAAUGGGGGAAACCCUGAUGCAGCGACGCCGCGUGGGCGAAGAAGUAUCUCGGUAUGUAAAGCUCUAUCAGCAGGGAAGAAAAUGACGGUACCUGACUAAGAAGCCCCGGCUAACUACGUG